CUGAGCUCUGGAGAGUGAAGUUAUCUUGAUGCUCAGAAUAGGUACGGCACAGACAGUAGCAGGGCCAGCUUCCCAUAUGCUGCCCCACCAAUGGGCCUUAGCCCUGAGCUGGAGAGAGCCAUCUCUUGAGGGCGGGGGGCUCAGUCCCCAUGGCCCAGCCAAUCCCAGGCACUU
rnacentral:sRNA from 1 species